rnacentral:rRNA from 1 species
UACGUAGGCAGCAAGCGUUGUUCGGAGUUACUGGGCGUAAAGAGUGCGUAGGUGGUGCCCUAAGUCUGUUGUGAAAUCUCCCGGCUUAACUGGGAGGGUGCGGUGGAAACUGGGGUGCUUGAGUGUGGGAGAGGUAAGCGGAAUUCCUGGUGUAGCGGUGAAAUGCGUAGAUAUCAGGAGGAACACCGGUGGUGUAGACGGCUUACUGGACCACGACUGACACUGAGGCACGAAAGCGUGGGCAGCAAACAGG